UAUGUAUCGCCAUGCUGACACUCUCUUAGCAACUAUGCCUUUUGUUUGCUAGGAUGAAUUGCACAAGUUUUGCAAGGGCACAUCAGUUAAGCGGGAGACACUGAAUGCUGGCUUAGAAAAUCGCCGGGAGGGAGAAAAAAAAUUGCAGUCUCUGCUAUGAAAGGCCAUUUCAGUUUGCUUGGAGCAUGCAGCCUAAUUUUUAACUCCUCCCUCGCUGGCUAUGAAAGGGCCAUCAACUUCUUGUUUUGUACAUAGCUGAUUUCUUUCUUUGGGAAAGAAAAUACCCAGCUUGACCCAAGAAUGGGAUGGAAAGCUGCAAAAUGGGCAUGAUGCUACUUAUGAGUAGGGAUGGAUUAUUUAAGGAGCAUUUAAUAGAGGGAAUUCUUUGGUUUUUGUUUUUUUUAAUCGAGGUGCAUAAUUUAUGGCUUAUGCCUAAUUUUCAUUAGCUUCCUGCCUUAGAAUCGAGAGGCAGGUUUUAGCCAUUCGUGGUUAGAGGAACUCUGAGGCAGGGGUGGGUUCUACUUAUCUUUACUACCGGUUCGCAACGGUAGUAUUUACAGACAUUACAUAUUUGUGUGCGUUUCUGAUUUCAGUUCUUCAGUCAGUUCUUUUUCCCCGUUAUAAAACUGUACUCUAAAUACUUGUAUUUGCCUUGUUAUAUAACAUACAGUAUGUGUAAAACCUACUCUUGCUUAAAUUUGGUUAAACGUCUGUUGUGGAUAAAUACUGUUUAUUGUUACUACAUGUUCUCCAACUUUAAGUUCCCAGUUUUCUUUCUUUGGUAAUGUCUCUCUUUUCCAGUGUUGUGCUAAAUUUAUCAUUACAGUAAUAAACAUGCAUUUUAGUAAACUGUGAUAUUUUUUGUUAACAGAUUUUGGAAUUGUGCCUAAGAAGAAUUAUGUUUCAUUUCAAGUUUGAUUUCUAAAGUUUUCUGAGUGGGUAUGUCUUUCCACUUUUUUUUUUAAUGUGUCCGUCACAUACAGUAAAGGGUUCCUUCUGGUUCAUGACAUUUUCAACAGGAACGAUUUAUAUUGGCGAUUAUUGACAGAGUUAUAUAUCAUCUGUAAUACAUUUAAUAUGUUUUCUCUUUAUAUAUAGGGAUGACUCUCACCCUUUACCCUCCUACCAUCAUGAAGGAUCAGUGGUUGCUUACAAUCUUGCAGCUGCAUUCUUUACGGUGUAUCCACCUUUGAAGGGUCAUCAAGGAAUAGUGUUUGCAAUCAGAAAUGCAUGCCAACUACAUCUGGCAGCUCAGCAUAAUGGGCAUAAGGGCAACGUCUUCUCCUGAGAGAUGCAACUAUAAAGGGUUCAACAUCUCAGUUUGAUGUAUUUCAAACCAGAGACCUAAUUUCCUGUGAAGGGGUAGCCACUAGAUCAAAUCAAAAAAGUUCAGUCUAUCACUCCAUCACUCUCCUCAAGAUCCUAAGUAGUGACGGCAGAGGAUAUUUUUUGAAUGCAAAUGCACCUAAUCUGCAUUUUCAAACCAAUGCAAACUGAAACUUUGUUAUCCAUCAACAUUUCUAAUUCUCUGGAUCUUGCAAUGCAACUUGCUAAUGGCUUAAAAAAACCACAAUAUUAGCAAAAAUUGACUGCAGCUCGAAUUCUUCAUGUGCAGAAAUGGAAAGUUAUGUUAAUCCACACAAUGGAAGAAUGGAUGGAAAAAGUGAUGGAAGUCAAUGCUUUUUUUCUUCCCUUCCCCUUUUUCCCACACCUCUCUUUCCCUUUUCUUUUCUUUCCACAUUUCCCCACUAUCUUUCUUUUCAUUUGUACUUUAUAUACAUUGAUAAUCUCAAUAAAAGUUACAUUUGAAAGAAAGAAAAAA